GUCUGCUGCUGCUUUCCUGUAUAUGAUUUUUUAGUCUGACUGUUAGACUAUGAUCCAUGCUCUUAAGGGAAGGGAUUAAUAUGCUGCUGAACUGGGGGUCCUCUGCCGCGAAGAAGGUUUGGUGUUGGGGCUGAUGUUCCCCUUAGAGUCUGGGCAUUUCAAGCCCCUUACAUUGUUUCAAUUUUGAUGAGAAGCGAUUUACCUGUGCACAAGUUUCAUUGAAAUAUUUUUUUUCGUUCAAAAAAAAAAACUUGCUGCAUUAAUUUGUUUUAUCUGCUGAGCAGGUGACGGCGCAUGGGGACGAGCUUCCUGGACAAGAAGAUCUGUGUAUUCUUCUUGAUGGUGCAAAGUUGAGGUGUUCUCAAAUCUCAAUGAACUAUUUUAUUUUACUAUUGACACUUGAAUGCUCUCUUUUUUCUGAUUAGUUUUUUUCUUUAUUCUUAUGUUCUUUACUGCCGAUUUCAACUUUUCAAGGAUUUAUUAGUUAAUAAAAGUUCAAGGAUUGUUGGAGAACAUGGAGCCUUGGGUAGCUGAAGUAGAUCCUUCCUUAAGGGCCAGAUGCCUUCUGGUUCAUACGAAAAUCAUGAAGCAAAACAGUAGAAGAAUAUAAGGUGUUUAACACAAUGGCAGUCAAAUUUUUAAGGCAUGAAGACUGCGGCAAUGCGAUGGCUAUGCUGAUUAAGUCUAAUAAGUGGGCUGGCCAUCACAAAGUCAUGUUUAACUAUCAAUAUGUGAACACAACAUGUGAUUAUAUGGAGUUUGUGAGGAAAAAUGAUAAGUUAAGAAGCUAGCUGGGUGAUUGUCCACUGGCGUUUUUUUGGAUAAGAAUUGUCCACUGACGUUUGCAUGGUAUGUAAACUGCCUGCAUCUUUUACUGACAGAUCACUAAUGUGAACAUUUUAUGCAUUGAAUAUUACUGAGCAUCAUCUUCUGACUGAUAUGGACAAUCUCUUGCAUUAUCUUGAGGCGACUGGGCAUAUAUGGACUUAGCCUAGAAGCGGGACCUACAGGCUUCCAUAAUUCCAGAGAGGUAAUUACCCGCCGUCUCAACUAUAUUCCAGAGAGGUAAUUGCCCUGGAUUUUCUCUUUAAUUAUACCAUAUUGUUUAAAUUUUGUAGCUGUCAUUUGUGCAUGAAUUGGUUACAUGUCUGCAAAGCUAACCAAAUAAGAAUGAGAUGAAUUGCAUGUCUGCAAAACUAACCAAAUAUGAAUGAGAUGAAUUUCCUCUUUGCACAAUCCACAUAGUACAUAUUAUAUGCAAAAGAAAUAUGUUUAUACAGGACAUUUUCUCUCUCAGGGUUAUACGUGCGUUGCACGUCCACGCCCACAUCCUCGACGGGUAGAAAAUUAGCGCAAGGAUCAAAUCCCCGACCUGUUUUUCUUUCUUUCGGUCUUUGUCCUAAACUGAAUCCUAUCUUGUUCGCUGCAACAGCAAGAUCUAGCUACCGUUGGGGAUAUAGAGGACCAGGAUGGACAACACGUUGCCAUUGAGUUUGCCGAGCUCGCCAGGACAGACCAUGAGCUGGUGACCUCCGCGGCCGAGGGCACCAUCUAUCUCCAGAGCCCCAUUGAUGUCAUGACCCUCGCCGCUUCCACCGCCACCACCAUAUAGGAGCGGUGUCACCCUUCGAGCAGAGCUAAAAAGAGUGAUACUAUUCUUUGGUCAGGUUAUGCUGCAGAUUAUUAUUUAGAGGAAAAACAUUUAUGGAGCCCGAUGUCUUUUAUGUUUUUUUCCUGAAUUUGCAGCCGCUAAGUUUCUGAAGCUUGACCGACAUCUUUUUAAGCAAUAGUGGUAAUCACGAGUGGCCUGAUACCGAUAUGCACCUUGCAGCCGCUAUUGCUUUCUAUCUGAUUUCGCUCAAAUUGAGUAGUUUGGCGGUGGGUGUUGGGUAGUAGUUUUGAUCAAUUCAGGAUAUUUUGUGAAAUAAUCCUAUUGGAUUGCUCUCCAAUUUUAUGUUGUGGAUUAAAAAAUAAGUAGCAAUUGUUUACAAGUCCCCGCUAAAACAAGUAAACCUGCUGUUGUCAAAAUUUCAAACCAACUAAGCAAGCAGAGAGCAAUGAUUGCAUAGCAAUCAGGGCCUGCCUCGAUCGUUUGACAUAUGACAUGACAUAAACAUCAUUUACAAGUCCAAGAAAGCUCUACAAAAACCAGUUACCCAAACUUACCCUGAGUUUGUUAAUUAAUAGUUUAAUACUAGGAUUCUUAUGCAUGUCUACUGUUGUUUAGGAAGCUCAGGACAUGGUGGUUCCGUUUUGGACGAAAAAGAAAAAAUAGUACCAAUGUGUUAACCUAAUGCUUAGCUGAUUAACUGCAGAUCAAAAUUUAUUUAUCCCUGUUUGCGCAAUAUGUAAGUAUUCAUGGUUAUUGGUCAGUGACCUGGGCAUAUGUAAAUUUUAUGCAUUCUGAAUUUUUAGCCCUUACGUUCUUGUACGUUAUUCUUUAUUCAUGCAUAUAACUUACUUGUACUUCGAUUGCUCUACAUUUUUCUUUUUCAUCACAUAUUUGACACUUUGUAGAAUCUGUGUGUACCUCUAAAUCUCCAAAAUUGCAGAGGAUUGCUACAUUAUUUCAUUAGUCCAUUUUAGAGCAUGUCAAAUGGAGCAACUUAUUUAGUGGUAAAAUCUUCCCUCCAAAGUCUGCUGCUGGCCACGCUCCUUCGACAGUCGGUACAUAUUUUCUCUUGGGUAAUUUGCUUCACCUAAUCUUUAGUACCACUUCUAUCAUGUAUUGUGAUUCACCUUUAAUGUCAGUAUUUUGUGCAUGGCCCCUUGAGCUCAUGUCUUCUAUUGCGGUCUGCAAACUAUCAUUUUCGGUCAGCUCAUAUCACUCUAUCCAUGCUAUCAAUUUUUCUUGCUCACUAAAUGGUAGUCUGACCUUGACCUGUUUGUGUCAUCAAAGAAGGGAAUUUUCCUUUUUUUUUCUACUUUUCUCUUGUGUUUGUAAAAUAUAUUAUUUUUUGUUGUAUAUUAUAGAAGGAUUGGGCAUGGAGGUUUCAGAUCCGCAUGCGAGUGUUUGUGUAUAUAUUGUACCUCUAUAUAUCUUUCCAAAUUCCAACUUUUGGCAUUACCAUAUUUUUAAAGAAUGGUUGUUUAGUGA